rnacentral:rRNA from 1 species
AGAGUUUGAUCCCCCGCUCAGAUUGAACGCUGGCGGCAGGCCUACACAUGCAAGUCGAGCGGUAACAUUUCAAAAGCUUGCUUUUGAAGAUGACGAGCGGCGGACGGGUGAGUAAUGCCUGGGAAUUUGCCCAUUUGUGGGGGAUAACAGUUGGAAACGACUGCUAAUACCGCAUACGCCCUACGGGGGAAAGCAGGGGACCUUCGGGCCUUGCGCUGAUGGAUAAGCCCAGGUGGGAUUAGCUAGUAGGUGAGGUAAAGGCUCACCUAGGCGACGAUCCCUAGCUGGUCUGAGAGGAUGAUCAGCCACACUGGGACUGAGACACGGCCCAGACUCCUACGGGAGGCAGCAGUGGGGAAUAUUGCACAAUGGGGGAAACCCUGAUGCAGCCAUGCCGCGUGUGUGAAGAAGGCCUUCGGGUUGUAAAGCACUUUCAGCGAGGAGGAAAGGGUGUAAGUUAAUACCUUACAUCUGUGACGUACUCGCAGAAGAAGCACCGGCUAACUCCGUGCCAGCAGCCGCGGU